rnacentral:lncRNA from 1 species
AUGUCCACCACAUCAUCAGUGAUGAUGGAAAAGAAGUGUGAGUCUCUCACUUCCCUGAGGGUUUCUUCCCUAACACAGCUCUCACAGAUCUCUAGCAUUUGUUUCUGCUGUGUUUUUGAACAGAACAAUGUGUUAACGGCUGUGGUCUCAAAGUGCUUUCUCAGAACCUCUUCACCAGAAUUUAUCCGGCACUCCAACAAAGCUUGGAAGUUAUCAGGUGUAAAGAGACCUUCCGGGAUUUCAUCGGUCUCAUGCCCAUCCAGAGGUCCCACAUACUGCUGGAGCCAGGAAAGGUACUGCUGAUUUAAGAAGAUUCAUCACUUUAAGGAGAUUCAUCACUUUAUAGUGAUGUCUGCAACAACAUACCAGCUGCAUC